AACGAACGCUGGCGGCAUGCCUAACACAUGCAAGUCGAACGAGACCUUCGGGUCUAGUGACGCACGGGUGCGUAACGCGUGGGAACCUGCCCUUAGGUUCGGAAUAACUCCCCGAAAGGGGUGCUAAUACCGGGUAAUGUCUUCGGACCAAAGAUUUAUCGCCUUUGGAUGGGCCCGCGUUGGAUUAGCUAGUUGGUAGGGUAAAAGCCUACCAAGGCGACGAUCCAUAGCUGGUCUGAGAGGAUGAUCAGCCACACUGGGACUGAGACACGGCCCAGACUCCUACGGGAGGCAGCAGUGGGGAAUAUUGGACAAUGGGCGAAAGCCUGAUCCAGCAAUGCCGCGUGAGUGAUGAAGGCCUUAGGGUUGUAAAGCUCUUUUACCCGGGAUGAUAAUGACAGUACCGGGAGAAUAAGCUCCGGCUAACUCCGUG
rnacentral:rRNA from 1 species